CCCCUCUCAGGAUCUCACCUUGAGAGUUUCCAGUACUCUUCCAGUCUUGGCUUCGGGAGGGAGAAUUAAGCAGAGGCAUACUCAUUCCAUUCCUAGCUUGGGAAGUGGCUAGUGAGUGGAAAGCAAACUGCUACAAGU